rnacentral:rRNA from 1 species
GCGGCUACCAUGCAGUCGAGCGGUAGCACAGAGAGCUUGCUCUCGGGUGACGAGCGGCGGACGGGUGAGUAAUGUCUGGGAAACUGCCUGAUGGAGGGGGAUAACUACUGGAAACGGUAGCUAAUACCGCAUAACGUCGCAAGACCAAAGUGGGGGACCUUCGGGCCUCAUGCCAUCAGAUGUGCCCAGAUGGGAUUAGCUAGUAGGUGGGGUAACGGCUCACCUAGGCGACGAUCCCUAGCUGGUCUGAGAGGAUGACCAGCCACACUGGAACUGAGACACGGUCCAGACUCCUACGGGAGGCAGCAGUGGGGAAUAUUGCACAAUGGGCGCAAGCCUGAUGCAGCCAUGCCGCGUGUGUGAAGAAGGCCUUCGGGUUGUAAAGCACUUUCAGCGGGGAGGAAGGCGGUGAGGUUAAUAACCUUAUCGAUUGACGUUACCCGCAGAAGAAGCACCGGCUAACUCCGUGCCAGCAGCCGCGGUAAUACGGAGGGUGCAAGCGUUAAUCGGAAUUACUGGGCGUAAAGCGCACGCAGGCGGUCUGUCAAGUCGGAUGUGAAAUCCCCGGGCUCAACCUGGGAACUGCAUUCGAAACUGGCAGGCUAGAGUCUUGUAGAGGGGGGUAGAAUUCCAGGUGUAGCGGUGAAAUGCGUAGAGAUCUGGAGGAAUACCGGUGGCGAAGGCGGCCCCCUGGACAAAGACUGACGCUCAGGUGCGAAAGCGUGGGGAGCAAACAGGAUUAGAUACCCUGGUAGUCCACGCCGUAAACGAUGUCGAUUUGGAGGUUGUGCCCUUGAGGCGUGGCUUCCGGAGCUAACGCGUUAAAUCGACCGCCUGGGGAGUACGGCCGCAAGGUUAAAACUCAAAUGAAUUGACGGGGGCCCGCACAAGCGGUGGAGCAUGUGGUUUAAUUCGAUGCAACGCGAAGAACCUUACCUGGUCUUGACAUCCACAGAACUUAGCAGAGAUGGAUUGGUGCCUUCGGGAACUGUGAGACAGGUGCUGCAUGGCUGUCGUCAGCUCGUGUUGUGAAAUGUUGGGUUAAGUCCCGCAACGAGCGCAACCCUUAUCCUUUGUUGCCAGCGGUUCGGCCGGGAACUCAAAGGAGACUGCCAGUGAUAAACUGGAGGAAGGUGGGGAUGACGUCAAGUCAUCAUGGCCCUUACGACCAGGGCUACACACGUGCUACAAUGGCAUAUACAAAGAGAAGCGACCUCGCGAGAGCAAGCGGACCUCAUAAAGUAUGUCGUAGUCCGGAUUGGAGUCUGCAACUCGACUCCAUGAAGUCGGAAUCGCUAGUAAUCGUAGAUCAGAAUGCUACGGUGAAUACGUUCCCGGGCCUUGUACACACCGCCCGUCACACCAUGGGAGUGGGUUGCAAAAGAAGUAGGUAGCUUAACCUUCGGGAGGGCGCUACCACUUGA